GCAUGAUCUCAUCAUGGCCCUAAAAUUAUUGCCCGGACCUCUGGGGUUCAUUAUAAUCUUAAGAACAACAAAAUAUAGCAUAUAAUGAAUCAAAAAAUAUCUAUUUUAUUAAUAAUAUAAAUAUAUCAAUUACAUGAGUCUGAAAGAUAUAUCAUAAUUAACAUCUUAUCGCAUUCCAUAUGCGAUUGACUUAUAGGGCAUUAUUCUUUCAAGAGACAUAUAUACCCAUACCCUUCACGAGCUACUUUUGACAGCAGAGUGCUCGGUAAAUGGUCACG
rnacentral:lncRNA from 1 species